UUGUUCCUCCCUAUCUUCCUUAUGUGUCUUUUAUACAGUUUUUUGUAAAUCAUAACUCCGUAUAACUUCCCCAAACAAGAGACCAAAACUGCAAAUCAGUUCCAAUUGCUUCCCCCUAAUCAGUUUGUUCUUCCGACAUAGAUUGGAAAAUGGUAGAUAAUUAACUUCAAAUCAUUUCUACCAUAGAAAUAUACUUUUGCAAGCCUUGGUAAAGGUGUUUUCCAGGCAUUCUUAAAUGGUGGAGGAGUGGAAGCUGUGCAGCCAAAUCAAUGAUAACAGACGCUUCCUCUCACAGCUUCAGAUCUCAUUUUUGUUGAUCAAUAUCUGGUCAGAUGCAAAAUCUAACAUGUGUGCGAUUGCCGACAGAUCUUCUUCUGUUAUACCGAAUUACCAAGUGCGUUCCUGUAUGGUAGGAAGUAUGAAAUGUUAUAGUCACAUUAAUGAACAUUUACGGUCAUUUUCAUUUUCAAUUUUUGAUUUUGUUUUGUGGUUUGUAUAGUUGAUUAUGCUUUACUACUCUGGCUACACAAUUUAGUUUGUAAUGCCAUCUUGGGAAGUAUAUGGUGCAAAAGGAAGGCGGGUUUGAUCCGGACCUGAUAAAGAAGAGACAAAAUUACGGUGACAUUGAUUUCGAAACACUCAACUCCCAUCAGAUAUUUUUUUUCUUCUAAUGAUUUACUCGGUUGACAUUUUUAGGUUCCAUGAUUAGUUUAAGAAAAACUAUUGUGUUUUUAGGUUGAAAGCAAAUGUAGUAUCAAUAAAGAGUGUUUUGGCGGGGGAUGUCAAAAUUACUAUAAUGUUCAGUUGCCUUAAAUCGUGAAUUUUAGGUGUGAUUUGUUUUGCUAGCAUCUUCACAGAUUAAUGUUCAAUGGAGAGAGAUAGCAAAAGCCUUCGGGUUUUCGUCAGUUUAUUUCCUUCUACGCUGUCAUAUGAGAAAAUCAUUGAGCGAAGGUUACUGUUGGCUAAUAUUUCCUUAUUGGGUGACUUAUAGCAGGAUUACAAACGUCUGGUGAUUACAAAGGUCAUUUGAAACUCUAUAACAAGUUAACAACAUUUGGUUUAAGUACUUCAUCAUAUUCACUAUUACAAGUACCGUAGAACCUCAUCGAUGAUGAACAAAAAUCAUGGGACCUUAAACAGGCUGCAUAAAAUCAUGGGGAGACACAUGUAAAAAAGAAAUAAACAUGCUCCUUAUGUCUAUGCUGCACAAAUCUUUGCUCUAUUCUGAAUUGCAACAGUUUAUGGCCUUUACUGAUUUUCGUCAUUGGGAAGAAAUUAUACUUAUAUAGAAUGUCGUAUCAAUGUUGUACCUGCAGUUAUAGAAUUCUCACUAGGACCGAUAUGUUGCAACAUUAUACAUGUGUACACUUUAGGGAUAGAUAACAAUGAAUACUAUUUGUUAAUCUUGCUUGGCCUUACUGGUCAAGGGGCGAAGCGAAGCCGAAGCAAAGUUUUACCAAAUCAUAUCGGGACAGGGCGAGGCGAGGCGAAGCCGAGCUUUACUAAAUAAAAAAUAUGGUUCAAAGAAAGAGGCAGUGAUGCAUUGUAUGUGUAGAUUGAAUUGGUGAACCAAGUUUGCGAAGCUGCACGGGCGUAGCACGGGCACAAAAUCUAGUCAGAUUUAUUAAUAUGUGUGUGUUCUUUUUUAUCACCUCUGCAAUUGACUCGCCAUUCCAAUGGAAACCUAUUAUCAGCAACAUAUUCUUGUUCGAGAGAACUUUUUUUCUACCGAUUAAUUUCUAAAAUCAGAUUCAAAGAUAUGUAUUGAACUUGUUUGAAUUAUUGAAGCUCAAGAAGAAAUGAUGAUGCCGGUGGUAGUUUCUGUUGUGGCGGCGGUGGUGGAGGAGGUGUUAAGAUAAAAUAAAUAACUUGGACAUGGAAGAUGCGCGAGGGUUUGAUCGUUCUCGCAUCUCUUCACGUUCUAUUGAAGCAUACUUGAUUCAGGACUUAUUGGUGAAAUGUUGAUGAUAAACCGUCUGAUUGGUGAUACUAGUGAAGUAUGUCUGUUUGUGUUUGUACAAGUUAAUCUACUUAAGAGACACAAGUUGCACGACGCCCUAAGUCAGAUGUUCAAUUUGGACGGAAUGUAUCAUCCCCUCUCAUCGUGGAAUGUAUCAUUGUAUGGUAUACUGACAUUGGAUGAUAUAUACGAAGGCGACAGCAGGUCUGAGGCAACUGUAAGGUGAUGAUAUUGGAAGAACACCCUUCAACUGUAAGGUGAUGAUAUUGGAUAAUAUCGGAAGAACACCGACAUGUAUUCUUCCGAUAACCCUUCAAAUGAACGGGAAACAACUGAAGAGAGUCAAUUGAUUCUAAAUCUUGCUAGAAUCCAAGCUGAUAGAUUUAAUCGGUUAAAACAUCAUGUCGAUGUUCUACUUGGUGUAAUGAGAGAUUGCAAAUCCAAAGGAAAUUCUGAUAUUCAGUCUUCGUUAUGUCUCUUGAAGCUAGCCUCAGAAGACAUGCCUUGGAAAUUGAACAUCGCUUGAGUAAGCUCUCUAUUCAAGGAUGCUCAAAGCAAUCUAUUAUGCCAAGUACUUCUGACACAAAAGAUGGUUCAUGCUCAGAAGCAAAAACAGAAACCCCUUCUUGUAAAACGAAUGUGCCUGAAGUCACCAUCAAUCAAAAAGGCUGCACAUCAAAUGGAGGGAAGAAAUCUUCUAACGAUGAUAUUAAGACUUUACUAUCUAUUCAUCUUGAUGAUCAGAAACUAUGUCUUGUCUAUGAAACUAAGAGUUCUGUUAAUCGAAAGGGAACCUCUAAGUUGAAGAAAAACUCUUUGGUUCAACUUCAACAUACCUUAGAUUUAAUUCUUAAAGGUGUAAAUGACAUUCGUAUGACUAAACCAAUUGGUUUUCGUACCUACCCUGUAUAUGUUACCAGAAAAGUUAGUUCAAUGAGUCCCCCAAACUCUCGAGAACAAAACAGACGUCUGAAUAAACAUCGUCUCAAGGAAAAUCGUAUGAUGGUCUCUGAAAAUAACGUUGCUCCCGUUGAGAAAGGAAGUUCAAAUGAAAGAAGAAAAAUUGAUGAAAUGGGAGAUAAUCUGAAGAAGAUAAUUGAAAGAUAUAAAGAAUUUGUCAACAAGAUGUCUUUCUCGUCAAACCUAAAUUCUUCUGGUAAGAACUCAAACUAUGUCUCGUAUUUUGAUGACAGUAAGUUUUAUGAUAAUUUCUCACAAAAAGGGAGAUCCCUCUCUAGUCAUAGGAGGAAAAAGAGACUUGACCGUAAACACAAAUCUCUUGAUGAGCUCGUGGCUCAUACUUGUGCUAAUUAAUCACAAGAUUGGAAGAGCUUAC